rnacentral:lncRNA from 1 species
UGCGCCCUGCGGAGCUCCGAACACGUGCGCGAGGCUGGCUGUGGCAGAUGCAACUGCAGAUGACUUGAAAGUAGGGCAUCCUUCACCCAUCUGAAGGGAGGAAAUAGUGGCAGGUGACAGUCUGCAUGUGCAGUUUUCAGUGCCUUCACCUGAAUGACAUCUACCUCCAUCAGGACCCCAGAUGUCUGACAGCCCUGUGUGACACCAAGAUAAGUAACAGUGGAGUCAACAUAUCAAUGGAGCAAGUCACAGUCGUCGAUGCCAGCUUCUUCUUGAAAUUACCCAGAAUGGAAUCCUGACAAUGAUACAGGACACACAAUGGUGAUCCAUUCAUGUUGCAGCAGUCUACAAAUCCAGCACCAGGAAUU